UGAAUACGAGACGCUAAGGCGUCGAAGUAGUGUAUGUCAUACUUCCAAGAAAAGCUUGCACUGUCAUAGAUAAAAAACGCCUGUACCAUAACCGACACAGGUGGGUAGGUAGAGUAUACUAAGGGGCGCGAGAUAACUCUCUCUAAGGAACUCGGCAAAAUAACUCCGUAACUUCGGGAGAAGGAGUGCCUUAUUCGUAAGGUUGCAAUAACAAGAUCCAAGCAACUGUUUAUCAAAAACACAGGUCUCCGCUAAGUCGUAAGACGAUGUAUGGGGGCUGACGCCUGCCCAGUGCCAGAAGGUUAAAGAAGUUGGUUAGCAAUUGCGAAGCUGAUAACUGAAGCCCUGGUGAACGGCGGCCGUAACAAUAACGGUCCUAAGGUAGCGAAAUUCCUUGUCGGGUAAGUUCCGACCCGCACGAAAGGCGUAAUGAUUUGGAUACUGUCUCGGAGAGGGGCUCGGUGAAAUAGACUUGUCUGUGAAGAUGCGGACUACCUGCACCAGGACAGAAAGACCCUAUGAAGCUUUACUGUAACUUGAAAUUGAAAUUGGACUUUAUUCGCGCAGUAUAGGUGGGAGGCGUUGAUUACAAUCUUGUGGGAUUAUUGGAGCCAUCAGUGAGAUACCACUCUUGUAAUGUUAGAUUUCUAACUUUGAAUCAUUAUCUGGUCAAAGAACAGUUUCAGGCGGGCAGUUUGACUGGGGCGGUCGCCUCCUAAACGGUAACGGAGGCGUACAAAGGUUUCCUCUGAACGGUUAGAAAUCGUAUCUAGAGUGUAAAGGCAUAAGGAAGCUUGACUGUGAGACCUACAAGUCGAGCAGGGACGAAAGUCGGUCUUAGUGAUCUGACGGUACUGAGUGGAAAGGCCGUCACUCAACGGAUAAAAGUUACUCUAGGAUAACAGGCUGAUCUCCCCCAAGAGUUCACAUCGACGGGGAGGUUUGGCACCUCGAUGUCGGCUCAUCGCAUCCUGGGGCGGUAGUACGUCCCAAGGGUUGGGCUGUUCGCCCAUGAAAGCGGUACGCGAGCUGGGUUCAGAACGUCGUGAGACAGUUCGGUCCAUAUCCGGUGUAGGCGUUAGAAUAUUGAGAGGAGCCUUCUUUAGUACGAGAGGACCGAGAAGGACAUACCUCUGGUGUACCAGUUAUCGUGCCAACGGUAAACGCUGGGUAGCUAUGUAUGGAGUGGAUAACCGCUGAAAGCAUCUAAGUGGGAAGCCCACCUCAAGAUAAGUAUUCUCA
rnacentral:rRNA from 1 species